rnacentral:rRNA from 1 species
AUUGAACGCUGGCGGCAGGCCUAACACAUGCAAGUCGAGCGGAUCGGCGGCCGCGUGCGUAAUGCCUAUGAAUCUGCCUGGUAGUGGGGGAUAACGUCCGGUACCGGGCGCUAAUACCGCCUACUCUCAGCUUAGCCUAGGUCGGAUUAGCUAGUUGGUGGGGUAAAGGCCUACCAAGGCGACGAUCCGUAACUGGUCUGAGAGGAUGAUCAGUCACACUGGAACUGAGACACGGUCCAGACUCCGACGGGAGGCAGCAGUGGGGAAUAUUGGACAAUGGGCGAAAGCCUGAUCCAGCCAUGCCGCGUGUGUGAAGAAGGUCUUCGGAUUGUAAAGCACUUUAAGUUGGGAGGCGUUACCAACAGAAUAAGCACCGGCUAACUUCGUGCCAGCAGCCGCGGUAAUUC